AUUGAACGCUGGCGGCAUGCCUUACACAUGCAAGUCGAACGGCAGCACGGGAGCAAUCCUGGUGGCGAGUGGCGAACGGGUGAGUAAUGUAUCGGAACGUGCCCAGUCGUGGGGGAUAACGCAGCGAAAGCUGUGCUAAUACCGCAUACGAUCUAAGGAUGAAAGCGGGGGAUCGCAAGACCUCGCGCGAUUGGAGUGGCCGAUAUAAGAUUAGCUAGUUGGUGGGGUAAAGGCUCACCAAGGCGACGGUCUGUAGCUGGUCUGAUAGGACGACCAGCCACACUUGAACUGAGACACGGUCCAGACUCCUACGGGAGGCAGCAGUGGGGAAUUUUGGACAAUGGGCGCAAGCCUGAUCCAGCAAUGCCGCGUGCAGGAUGAAGGCCUUCGGGUUGUAAACUGCUUUUGUACGGAGCGAAAAGGUUCUCUCUAAUACAGGGGGCUCAUGACGGUACCGUAAGAAUAAGCACCGGCUAACUACGUGCCAGCAGCCGCCGUAA
rnacentral:rRNA from 1 species